GGGAAUGUGGCUUAGUGGUAGAGUGCUUGCCUAGCACGCAUGAAGACCUGGGUUUGUUUUCUCAGCACCA
rnacentral:tRNA from 1 species